AAUCAACGCUGGCGGCGUGCCUAACACAUGCAAGUCGAACGCGAAAGGGGAGCAAUCCCUGAUUAGAGUGGCAAACGGGUGAGUAACACGUGGGUGACCUGCCUUCGAGUGGGGGAUAACCUUCCGAAAGGAGGGCUAAUACCGCAUGACAUACCGUGUUUGGAUACACGGAUAUCAAAGCCGGGGAUCGCAAGACCUGGCGCUUGGAGAGGGGCCCGCGUCCGAUUAGCUAGUUGGUGAGGUGACGGCUCACCAAGGCUCCGAUCGGUAUCCGGCCUGAGAGGGCGGACGGACACACUGGGAACUGAGACACGGGUCCAGACUCCUACGGGAGGCAGCAGUGGGGAAUUGUUCGCAAUGGGCGAAAGCCUGACGACGCAACGCCGCGUGGAGGAUGAAGAAUUUCGGUUCGUAAACUCCUUUCGACCGAGAUGAAUAUCCCGCGAUCUAAUAAGUCGCGGGACUGACAGUAUCGAGAGAAGAA
rnacentral:rRNA from 1 species